ensembl:lncRNA
GUAACGUGAUGCGCACACACACACGGAUGUGACGGGGUUGAGACUGGGAAUGCGAGCAGGAGGUUUUGACUUUCCUGCGCCCGUGAGCGAGCGGUUAGAUCCGAAAUCCACAGGAUUCAUGAACACGGACGUGAUGGGUUUACAGCAUUCAUCCUUAGUUACCGCCUGGUCAGGGACACGGUGGUUUCGAUUGCGCAACUAGUUUACAGAAAUCCAAUCAAAUAAAAUUAUUGGGAAACAUCAUGGGUACGUACAAACUACAAUAACUAGCUGCGUUUACAUGGACAACAAUAAUCCACUCUUAAUCCGAUUAAGACCGUACUCUAAUUAAGAAACUACCACGUAAACAGCAAUUUUUACUUACCUUAAUCUAAUUAAGGUCAUAAUCGAAGUAAGCAAUAAUCUAAUUAAGACAGGUGCAGUACUCCUGUUUUAGGCGCAUUAUGGACGUGUAGUAGUGACACGUAAACACCUUAAUCACAUUAUUAACGUCGUGUGGGAGUUUUCACCGCAUUUUGCGACAGGACACGAUCACACACGGCAGUUUUACGCUUUACGGCGAGCAAGAGAGUUCGGCUGCGUCCCAAAUCGCAUACUUUCCUCCUACAGGCCUGCAGUGGGGAAAAAUACAUGUAUCUCGGCUACUAUAUAGACGGUAACUACGCGAUUUGGGACACACCCACCGCUUCAAGCGGUUGUCUAUUAGCACGUACAGCACGACAAAUAAUUAACCGCACUUAAAGCGUUCGUAAAAAAUAAAUAAAUAAAAACACCCAAAACUGUAUACGGUACCAUAACGAAGACGAACUGUAUGUCGAUACGUGAAAUUCGGAGGGACGUCGGACGGCGUGGCGCGGUGACGUAACGACGCGGGCUGUUAAUCUAAUUAUGUUCUUGAACAUGUAAAACGGGAACAUGACAGGAGUAUUCUAAAAGCCACUCAUGUAAACACCUUAAUCACAUUAUUAUCUUACUCAGAUUAAGGUCAAUAAUUAGAUUACCGCUGUCCAUGGAAACGUAGUCACUGUGUGAGCAGGAAUCGGUUAUACUAAACUAGAGUGAUGGAGCUGAGGUCGAGGAACUGUCAGAGCCAGAAUUCACACACCAUGCGGGACAGCGCUGACUUCGAACAUCUUCUCAUGGGUCUCUUUUGCAUGUCCCCGGAUCCCGGUUAAAAACAAAGUCGGGAUGGAGCUUUUACAGUCGCCGCCCCUCGUUUAUGGAAUAAAUUGCCACUGGACAUCCGCCUCGCGCCUUCAGUUACCACUUUUAAAGAGAGACUUAAAACAUAUCUCUUCUCCCAGG